AUACGGAGGGUGCAAGCGUUGCUCGGAAUUAUUGGGCGUAAAGGGUAGGUAGGUGGUCUCAUUUGUCCGGGGUGAAAGCCUUAGGCUUAACCUGAGAAGUGCCCCGGAAACGGUGAGACUUGAGUCCUGGAGAGGGUCGUGGAAUUCCCGGUGUAGCGGUGAAAUGCGUAGAGAUCGGGAGGAACACCAGAGGCGAAGGCGGCGACCUGGACAGGCACUGACACUCAACUACGAAAGCGUGGGGAGCAAACAGGAUUAGAUACCCUGGUAGUCCACGCUGUAAACGAUGAGUACUAGACUUGGUGGGUCUUGACCCCCGCCGAGUCGGCGCUAACGCAAUAAGUACUCCGCCUGGGAAGUACGGUCGCAAGACUAAA
rnacentral:rRNA from 1 species